rnacentral:rRNA from 1 species
AGUGAACGCUGGCGGUAGGCCUAACACAUGCAAGUCGAACGGCAGCACAGGAGAGCUUGCUCUCUGGGUGGCGAGUGGCGGACGGGUGAGGAAUACAUCGGAAUCUACUUUUUCGUGGGGGAUAACGUAGGGAAACUUACGCUAAUAACGCAUACGACCUAAGGGUGAAAGCAGGGGAUCUUCGGACCUUGCGCGAUUGAAUGAGCCGAUGUCGGAUUAGCUAGUUGGCGGGGUAAAGGCCCACCAAGGCGACGAUCCGUAGCUGGUCUGAGAGGAUGAUCAGCCACACUGGAACUGAGACACGGUCCAGACUCCUACGGGAGGCAGCAGUGGGGAAUAUUGGACAAUGGGCGCAAGCCUGAUCCAGCCAUACCGCGUGGGUGAAGAAGGCCUUCGGGUUGUAAGCCCUUUUGUUGGGAAAGAAAUCCAGCUGGUUAAUACCCGGUUGGGAUGACGGUACCCAAAGAAUAAGCACCGGCUAACUUCGUGCCAGCCGCCGCAGUAA